AAUCAGGGUUGCACCUCUCCUCUAGCC
rnacentral:piRNA from 1 species